AUUGAACGCUGGCGGCAGGCCUAACACAUGCAAGUCGAGCGGAUGAGUGGAGCUUGCUCCAUGAUUCAGCGGCGGACGGGUGAGUAAUGCCUAGGAAUCUGCCUGGUAGUGGGGGACAACGUUUCGAAAGGAACGCUAAUACCGCAUACGUCCUACGGGAGAAAGUGGGGGAUCUUCGGACCUCACGCUAUCAGAUGAGCCUAGGUCGGAUUAGCUAGUUGGUGAGGUAAAGGCUCACCAAGGCGACGAUCCGUAACUGGUCUGAGAGGAUGAGCAGUCACACUGGAACUGAGACACGGUCCAGACUCCUACGGGAGGCAGCAGUGGGGAAUAUUGGACAAUGGGCGAAAGCCUGAUCCAGCCAUGCCGCGUGUGUGAAGGAGGUCUUCGGAUUGUAAAGCACUUUAAGUUGGGAGGAAGGGCAGUAAGUUAAUACCUUGCUGUUUUGACGUUACCAACAGAAUAAGCACCGGCUAACUUCGUGCCAGCAGCCGCCGUAAGAC
rnacentral:rRNA from 1 species